GUGUGCCUACUGUUCACACCUGAUUAUUGUGCCAAAAUGUUUAUCUAUUUAAUUAUAUUACUAUCAUCAGCUCAAGGUUCCAGAGCGGCAGAAGUCAUCACACCAUACAGUGCUUAUCAGUUUGCUGAUGAGGGUGACAGUGUGACACUCUCUUGUAGCUACACUGGUUCUGUUCAAGGUCUUCACUGGUAUCGGCAAUAUGCAGGUUCACCACUAAAGUUCCUCAUAAUGGAUUCCUAUGGGGCAGUUACUAAAGCUGAUCCUCCAGUACCUGGAGUCUCAAUCCAUCACAGAAAAGACAACAGUAGUGUGGAUCUGAAGAUCUCCUCUGCUGCUGUCACUGACUCCACUCUGUACUACUGUGCUCUGGAGCCCACAGUGAAAGGAAAUCCACUGCAUGCUGUACAAAAAGCUGUUUAA